UACGUAGGGGGCAAGCGUUGUUCGGAAUUACUGGGCGUAAAGGGCGCGUAGGCGGCACAGCAAGUCGGGAGUGAAAGCCCGGGGGCUCAACCCCCGGAACAGCUUUCGAAACUGCUGAGCUAGAGUACAGAAGGGGCAACCGGAAUUCCCAGUGUAGCGGUGAAAUGCGUAGAUAUUGGGAAGAACACCUGAGGCGAAGGCGGGUUGCUGGGCUGAUACUGACGCUGAGGCGCGAAAGCUAGGGGAGCAAACGGG
rnacentral:rRNA from 1 species